GGGCUACUCUGUAGGAGGCUGGUGGAUGUGGGAGGAGCCACCACUGCCCCUGCCACUACAAUGCUGCCACUGAAAUUCCACAGAAGAUGAUCGCUUAGCAAAUUUGGCCGUCAUCCAGGAACUGGACCCAGCCACGCUCUGACCUCCAUUCCUAAUGGACGCGCCCAGGCAAAGGACAGAGCUAGAGCAUUAUGCAGAGCUCAGAAAGUUUCCUGAUGGCGACAGCUGCACAUGUGCAUCGUCCCAGUUGUGUGAAUAGUCCUGGAUCACUUCAAGGAUAAUCAGUUACAGUGUUACAUUCCGAGCAAGGGAUCAGUCUGAUGUUUACAGGUGACCUCAAAAUCCAAUCCCUUGCCAAUGAUUGGAGCAUGGGUGACUGGC